rnacentral:rRNA from 1 species
UACGGAGGGUGCAAGCGUUAUCCGGAUUCACUGGGUUUAAAGGGUGCGUAGGCGGGCAGGUAAGUCAGUGGUGAAAUCCCCGAGCUUAACUUGGGAACUGCCGUUGAUACUAUCUGUCUUGAAUACUAUGGAGGUAAGCGGAAUAUGUCAUGUAGCGGUGAAAUGCUUAGAUAUGACAUAGAACACCAAUUGCGAAGGCAGCUCACUACACAAUCAUUGACUCUGAGGCACGAAAGCGUGGGGAUCAAACAGG